rnacentral:rRNA from 1 species
CUACGGGGUGCAGCAGUGAGGAAUAUUGCACAAUGGGGGGAACCCUGAUGCAGCAACGCCGCGUGGAGGAUGACGCAUUUCGGUGUGUAAACUCCUUUUAUAUGUCAAGAAAAUGACGGUAGCAUAUGAAUAAGCACCGGCUAACUCCGUGCCAGCAGCCGCGGUAAUACGGAGGGUGCAAGGUUACUCGGAAUCACUGGGCGUAAAGGACGCGUAGGCGGGUUGGAAAGUCAGGUGUGAAAUCCUACGGCUUAACUGUAGAACUGCACUUGAAACUUCUAAUCUAGAGUAUGGGAGGGGGAGAUGGAAUUAGUGGUGUAGGGGUAAAAUCCGUAGAUAUCACUAGGAAUACCUAAAGCGAAGGCGAUCUCCUGGAACAUUACUGACGCUAAGGCGUGAAAGCGUGGGGAGCAAACAGGAUUAGAUACCCCUGUAGUC